GACUCUGUGCCGCAAUGGUAGCGCGUCUGACUCCAGAUCAGAAGGUUGCGUGUUCGAAUCACGUCAGGGUCA
rnacentral:tRNA from 1 species